GUUAUGCACCUGGAAUAGGGCAAAAGGGAGGAGCGACACCCAGUCCCCGCCAGUCUCCAUGGUCAAUUUAGUUAGGGUCUCUUUUAGAGUUCUAUUCAUUCUUUCUACCUGUCCUGAGCUAUGGGGUCUAUAUGCACAAUGUAACUUCCAGUUGGCCCCAAGCACUGAAGCUAAAUUCUGAAUUACCUUAGACACAAAGGCUCGUCCAUUGUCUGAGCCUAUCUGGGUCUGGAGGCCAUACCUGGGCAAGAUGUCUUCCAGCAGCUUCUUAGCCACCACCUGGACUGU